AGCAGUCGCGGUAAUUCCAGCUCCAAUAGCGUAUAUUAAAGUUGUUGCAGUUAAAAAGCUCGUAGUUGAAUUUCGGGGUUAGUAGGUUGGUCAUGCCUCUGGUAUGUACUGGUCUCACUGAUUCCUCCUUCCUGAUGAACCUUAAUGCCAUUAAUUUGGUGUUUUGGGGAAUUUGGACUGUUACUUUGAAAAAAUUAGAGUGUUUAAAGCAAGCUAACGCUUGAAUACAUUAGCAUGGAAUAAUGAAAUAGGACGUUCGAUCCUAUUUUGUUGGUUUCUAGGAUUGACGUAAUGAUUAAUAGGGAUAGUUGGGGGCAUUAGUAUUCAAUUGUCAGAGGUGAAAUUCUUGGAUUUAUUGAAGACUAACUACUGCGAAAGCAUUUGCCAAGGAUGUUUUCAUUAAUCAAGAACGAAAGUUAGGGGAUCGAAGACGAUCAGAUACCGUCGUAGUCUUAACCAUAAACUAUGCCGACUAGGGAUCGGAUGAUGUUAAUUUUUAAUGACUCAUUCGGCGCCUUAC
rnacentral:rRNA from 1 species